rnacentral:lncRNA from 1 species
CAGCACCACAUACAAAUAAAGAUGUGUCUACUGAAAACUAAAAAAUAAACAUUAAAAUUCUCUCUCUCUCUCUCUCUCUUAAAAAAAAAAAAGCGCUCUCUGACUGAUUGAGAGUGAAAUAUGAAAAGGCCAGAGCAGAAGAAGGAAAAACCAUGUAGGAGCCUCUACAAUAACCAGUGAUAUUGAUGAUGGCUUGGACUGGUUUGUGGGGAAGCUAUGAAAAGAAGUCAAUUCCAGGAAUAUUUUAAGGUAGAGCUGGGCUGUGUGCAACCCUCAGUGGUAGAGUGUAUGUUUAAUGUUAAGGAGGUCCCAGGUUCAAUCUCCAACACCAAAAAACAAAAAGGUAAAGUUGACUAGACAGACUGAUAAGUUAAAUAAAGGAUCUGAGACAAAAAGAGUUAAUCCAAGGCUGUCCUUUAGCAAACAGAAAGAUCAAAUUAGAUGAGGAGAGAAGCAAGUUUUAGAGGGUGGAACAGAGGGAAGAUAGAUAAGUUCUCAGCAAUAAGAUAGUUCUGAUCUUAUUCAAAGUUUAAAUUGGGAUGGUUCUUACUAGUACACCUUGAAUUUUAUCUUAAAGCUGUUUUCUUUAUUACUAUUAUAACACAAAUC